rnacentral:rRNA from 1 species
AAACUUCGCAAUGUGGGAAACCAUGACGAGGGAACUCCAAGUGCUGUCACAAAGUGGCAGCUGUUCAUCUGUCUAAAAACAGGUGAAGUAAGGGCUGGGUAAGACUGGUGCCAGCCGCCGCGGUAAUACCAGCAGCCCGAGUGGUGGCCGCUUUUAUUGGGCCUAAAGCGUCCGUAGCCGGUCCAGUAAACCCUUGGGUAAAUCGUGGAGCUUAACUUCACGAAUUCCGAGGAGACUGCUGGACUUGGGACCGGAAGAGGUCGGAGGUACUCUG